UUCAAAGGUGAGCCUCUCUACAAGGUGCAACUAGUGACUUCCAACCCCCAGAAACAUAGAAACCUGGGAUAAAAUCUGGAAUGCCCAAGGUCUGUGGGGUAAGGUGAUGUUUCCUUUUGACCUCUGACUGCCUACAUAU